rnacentral:rRNA from 1 species
UGGGGAAUUUUGCACAAUGGGGGAAACCCUGAUGCAGCGACGCCGCGUGAUUUAGAAGGCCUUCGGGUUGUAAAAAUCUUUUGUAUGGGAAGAAAAUGACAGUACCAUACGAAUAAGGACCGGCUAAUUACGUGCCAGCAGCCGCGGUAAUACGUAAGGUCCGAGCGUUGUCCGGAAUCAUUGGGCGUAAAGGGUACGUAGGCGGAUAAGCAAGUUAGAAGUGAAAUCCUAUAGCUCAACUAUAGUAAGCUUUUAAAACUGCUCAUCUUGAGGUAUGGAAGGGAAAGUGGAAUUCCUAGUGUAGCGGUGAAAUGCGCAGAUAUUAGGAGGAAUACCGGUGGCGAAGGCGACUUUCUGGCCAUAUACUGACACUGAGGUACGAAAGCGUGGGUAGCAAACAGG